GUAGGUGGCAAGCGUUGUCCGGAAUUAUUGGGCGUAAAGCGCGCGCAGGCGGUUCUUUAAGUCUGAUGUGAAAGCCCACGGCUCAACCGUGGAGGGUCAUUGGAAACUGGAGAACUUGAGUACAGAAGAGGAAAGCGGAAUUCCACGUGUAGCGGUGAAAUGCGUAGAGAUGUGGAGGAACACCAAGUGGCGAAGGCGGCUUUCUGGUCUGUAACUGACGCUGAGGCGCGAAAGCGUGGGGAGCAAACAGGAUUAGAUACCCUGGUAGUCCACGCCGUAAACGAUGAGUGCUAAGUGUUAGGGGGUUUCCGCCCCCCUUAGUGCUGCAGCUAACGCAUUAAGCACUCCGCCUGGGAGUACGGCCGCAAGGCUG
rnacentral:rRNA from 1 species